UACAGAGGGUGCAAGCGUUAAUCGGAUUUACUGGGCGUAAAGCGUGUGUAGGUGGUUUGUUAAGUCAGGUGUGAAAUCCCCGGGCUCAACCUGGGAACUGCAUCUGAUACUGGCAGACUCGAGUGUGGUAGAGGGUAGUGGAAUUCCGCAUGUAGCGGUGAAAUGCGUAGAUAUGCGGAGGAACAUCAGUGGCGAAGGCGGCUACCUGGACCAACACUGACACUGAGGCACGAAAGCGUGGGUAGCAAACAGG
rnacentral:rRNA from 2 species